rnacentral:lncRNA from 1 species
AUUCUCAACUUGGGUAGUUUGCUCACUUCUCUUGCUAACUCCUAUUGCCCACCACCGCAUGUCAAACCACCUCAUGCAAAGCCUCCUCCUCAUGUACCCACGAAACCACCUCAUGUUAAACCACCCAUUGUAAAGCCACCUCCCUAUCCGAAACCUCCUGUUCCCAAACCACCUCCCCAUCCCAAACCUCCUGUUGUGAAACCACCACCUGUUGUAGUGCCAAGCCCACCACCAACACCAACACCAACCCCAGUUGUCCCAGUGAAGCCUCCUCCACCCACCGAAACACCAUGCCCUCCUCCACCACCAAAGUUAGUACCACCACCACCAUCUCCACCAAAGGACACGUGUCCCAUCGACACCCUAAAAUUGGGAGCUUGUGUAGAUGUGUUGGGUGGUCUUAUCCACAUUGGAAUUGGAAGCAGUGCCAAAGAUACAUGUUGUCCGGUGCUUCAGGGACUGGUGGACUUGGACGCUGCUAUUUGCCUUUGCACCACCAUCAAGGCUAAGCUUCUCAAUGUCAACCUCAUCAUCCCCAUUGCUCUUCAGGUGCUCAUUGCUUGUGGGAAGACUCCUCCCUCUGGAUUCCAGUGUCCUGCAUAGAUGAUCAUCAUAUCUUAUUCCUAAAUCACACUUAGUAGUUGUUAAUCAUGUCAUCAUUAGUGAUAUGUGGCGCCGGCUAGCUGAUAAUAAAGCAUGUCAAAGCUUGGAAGUAAAAACUACAUGAGGAUAAAUCUGUUAUUCGUUUUUGUUUUGUUUUGUUUACUUGAAGAGUGUAUCAGAUCGAUAGACUGGUAAUUUAGUCAUGUUAUUUUCUUGAACCUUGGAAGUAUAUAUAAUAACCUGAGUUUAAAGAAGACCUUCAUUUUUCACCGUUCGUCAAUCUCCUGUAGAGGACUUACAUGGAACACCACCACCGUGCCCGUGACAUCAUGGUCUAAUAAUACAACUUCAUUUGUAAUUAAAGAAACUCACAUAUGACAUUAUAUUAUUGAACUGAGACACUAGUGUAAAUAUUUUAAAUUGAUGAUAGGAUUCUUCACUAUAUUCUUAUAGAGUCGAGUAGUAGUUUUAUAAAAUCAUCAAAAUUAGAGCUCAAAUAACCAUUAAAUUAUGAUUUUUUCGUUUCUAACCGUCGAAGAAUUUCGUCCUGUUACCUAAUAUAGUAAUACUGGUGAUUUUUGGUGUGUGCAAUCUUAGAGUAUAUACAAAUAAGUUUGACAGCUUGAUUGUUGAAAUUAAUUUUGCAGACAUCGAAAAUCAUCUAAGGAACUAAAUACGCCAAUCAUGUCUGUUACCUCUGCCUUAUGAAAUAUAUGUUGGAAAAUAUUAGUAUUUAGGUUUAUUUUAGUAUUUGGGUUUUGCUUGUUAGUUUAGGAUUUGUGCUUAGCCCAUCCGAGUUAGGGUUUCGUAGGUUUAGUUCUCUAUAAAUAGAGCUUGUAAUUUAGUUUGACAAUAAGUUAGCCACAAUGUAGUCUCUUAGGGUUUUGUAGCCGCUUCGGCAUUCUCAGUUUGUUUAAUAAUAUUCUUAUUAUUUGUUAGUCUUGUUUGUUGCGCACUGAUAUUCAACUUGGUAUCAGAGUAGGUUUGAUUCUUCGGGAUCUAAUCUGCUUCUGUUUGUUCGUAUCAGUUUUAUUUCUUUCCAGUUUCCAUCCGUAAAUUUUUUACGUUUUCUGGUUUGGUUUUUCAGUUUGUCCUUGGUAGUCUUCAAGAAAGGAAAAAAAAAUUCUGUUUUUGAAAAAAAAGAAUUUGGUGAAUUUGUCUCACACCCAAAUUUGAAAAUGCUCCAUCGCACUAAGAUUUCUGCAUUCCCCAGCCCCACCUUGCAUCUGGAUCCGUCCACAACCGUACACCUGCGAAAAAAAAGAAACAAGAAAAAAGAAAGGCUAAUGUUGCUGGUUGGUUCACACAGAAGAAAAAUAAGGAAGGAAGAAGGAAGAAAAAAAAAGCGGGGGGGAAAAGGAAGGAAAAAAAAUUGGUUGUUUUGAGGUUUUGUUGCCCUCGUAUUCUUGCAUUGGGUAUGGUAUUGGAAUUUGGCAUUGGGCAUGGUAUUGGAAUUUGGCAUUGGUAUUGGUAUUGGCAUUGGCAUUGGUACUGGUAUCGGCAUUGACAUCUGCAUUGGCAUUGGCAUUGGCAUUGGCAUUGGCAUUGGCAUUGGCAUCGGCAUCGUCAUUGGUAUUGGCAUCGGCAUCGGCAUCGGCAUUGGUAUUGGUAUUAGCAUCGGCAUCGGCAUUGGCAUCGGCAUCGGCAUCGGCAUCGGAAUUUGGAGGCUUGCAUCCACAUCUGCUUGUUGGCAAACUCAUGUCGUGUACCACCAUGAGUUUGACGGGAGGUGUUGGAAAAUAUUAGUAUUUAGGUUUAUUAUAGUAUUUGGGUUUUGCUUGUUAGUUUAGGAUUUGGGCUUAGCUCAUCCGAGUUAGGGUUUCGUAGGUUUAGUUCUCUAUAAAUAGAGCUUGUAAUUUAGUUUGACAAUAAGUUAGCCACAAUGUAGUCUCUUAGGGUUUUGUAGCCGCUUCGGCAUUCUCAGUUUGUUUAAUAAUAUUCUUAUUAAUUGUUAGUCUUGUUUGUUGCGCACUGAUAUUCAACUAUAUAAACCCUAAUUACAACAUAUACCUUUGAGUGACGAAAGCUGGAAGGUUCGUCGUGUAAAGGUUGCCAUUUUAUGUGCCAAACUUUUAUCUUGGUGCGAAAACUUUAACCCACGACGUAAGCUUUGCUCGUCGAACUCUGUUCGCCGGGCAAAAGCAUCUGCAAAAACCAAAACGUUUGACCGUUUUGCUCGACAAACGUUUAUUUUGUCAGGUAAAGACUAUUUGGCCGACAAAAUACCGUUCGUCUAGCAAAACUUUGUCAGAAAAAUGGUAAUUUCUGGUUAUGUAUGAUAAAACUUUGUCGGACAAAUGAUAAUUUUUGGUAGUGUAUCAUAUAUAUAUAUAUAUAUAUAUAUAUAUAUAGAGGUUUCUCUCCCUUGUGUGUGUAUGUCUGUAUCUGUUGAUAUAGCGUGUUUGCAGGUUCACGUGAAUGUGUAGACUGUAGUGCAUUGAAUUAUUUUAAUUGCAUUCGUUUGUAAGAUAUCAGUAGGAAUAAAAUAUCAACGUCAAGGCUUAAAAAAAAAUAUCAACGUCAGGUACCACAUGUAAGAUACAUGCAACACGUACAACUUUCUUAUGGAUUUUGGAAGUUUGUCUAUAUUUAUACCAAGGCUUCCAAAAAUACGAGCCUUCUCCUCUCCUGCAUCCAAGUCCUGCUGAACAAGGAAGAAAAUAUCGGUAAUAUCGGAAAUAUCGGUAGUCCGAAAACAUGGAAAUAUCGAUGGAAAUAUCGGGAUAAUAUCGAUAUCGAUAAAAAUUACAUGGAAACCACGGAAAUUGUAAGAAAAACUUGGAAAUUUUUAUUAAAACUUUGCAGGAUGUUUAUUUAGUCAAUUAUCUAUUAGUUUAUCACAAAAAAAUUGGAAGGAAAUGCAUUGCAUGAUGGAUUUAACUGAUUUAAGUUGAUUAUAUAGCGAGCUGGCAAACAUUGUGAGUGUAGAAAAUAUAUAAUAAUUAAUGAAAGAAGUUUAAACACACCAUAAUCAUUUAUAUAUAAUGAAUUAGUACAAUAUUUUACACUUUAUACAUUGCAUGGUAAGAUACAUGAGUGACUAAGUACCACAUAGAGUUCCUAUGAGGUUCAAAAUUUUCACUAUCUUCAUCAUCACUAUGUGUAGAGUAAGUGUAUUGUGAAGAGUAGUUAGCAACCAUGGCAAUGACUUUCAAGAACCGAAACCCAAAAGUCAAUAGGAAACCGAAUACUUCGGUAUUUUUCGGGAUUUCAGGAUUACCAAACAAAUGGGAUUUGGAAAACCAAUCCCAUAUCGAAAAUUUCGGUAUUUUUCGGGAUGGUUUUGGUUUGGGACUUUUUCGGUUUGGUUUGGGAUUUUCGGGAAUUUUUUCCAACCAUACAUGUAAGUGACCAAAUAAAAAAUAGAAAAAUUAAAAACCACAUGCCAUUGACUAAGUAAUUAAUUGACACAAUUUAAAAUAUAAUACCACAAAAAAUUUGGAAUAUGUGCAAAUUUGUUUCUUGCAAAAAGAAUUCAAAACAAAACCAUAUAUAUAAAUAGUUUAGCAUGUUUUCACAAAAACGUAAGUGGUAUAGUGGUCAAGUUGCUGAAGGAGUUAGAUGGGAGGGGUUCGAAUCACUUUAUGUGCAUGUUUGAGACUUUUCAGAAAUUUUCAAAUAUUUUUAGGUUCAUCUCGCGAUAUAUAAUAUCGCGAUAAUAUCGAUAUUAUCGCGAUAUAUUAACGAUAAUUAUAAAAAUACUCACGAAAUAUCGUUAUAUGAAAAAACGAUAAUAUCGGCGAUAUUAUCGAUUUUUAAAUCUAUGCUGCUGAAUCACAUCCACCAAAUCCAAAGGGGAUUGGGAAUAUAAUUGCUCCAUCACACUCAAUUAUUGUUCGUGUAAUGUUUUCUUUGCACAACAUUUUAAUUCAAAUUUCACCAUGUUUUUUUAUGUUUCAAUUAUUUGAUCAAUUUAUUGGAGGAAAAAAAAACACAGGUUAGCGAUCGUACGAUCGAUAUCGACCACCAUAUCGACAAUACAGAGGGAAAAAGAAUAAGACAUGUCAUCACCUAACAUUUUUAAUAAUGUCACUAAAACAUUUCAAGUUCCAAUUCAAUCAACCUUUCCUGUCAGCAACAUAUGUCUCGCACCGACCUCUCAACACAAAGCACUUAUGUCACUCCUACGAGAAAUUCUAAGAUCCGACCGAACAAGCCAAGACACAAAAAACCCUUCCCCUAUCCCACCCCGAUUUUAACAUGUUAACCUGGCCUGCUUUUAGUCUCACUCUCCUCUCACACCACCUCCAAGUCGAAUGUCCUAGCUACACAAAAAUCUGUCUCCAGUCUUUUUAUAAUCCUGCUCUGGUAACCUCAGUUGAAUGGCAGGAUAAAUUUGAAUGGGGGGAGGAAAAAAAACCGCUAAAUUAUGUGUCGGAUCAUUUGUGCAUCAUGUAGUACUCAAAUUAAUGUGGUGUAAAAUGUGGUUUCGUUAGUAGUUUGAUGCCUCAGGUUUUCUGCUUUCUUUUGGUAAUCACAUUAUUAUAGCGCACCACUUAAUUAGCACACCAUUUGAUAACUCCCUAGCUAGUAUAUACGUAAUUUUUUUAUCUCAUUCAUUUUUCUUCCUAGUCUCUCUUCUUUUCAUUUCUUUUUUUCCAAUUAGAGGAAACAAUGCUAAGAUAUAUAAUUUUGAUAUGAACCCUAAACCGUAAUUUUAUAUAUGAACCAUAAACCCCAAGUUUUUAUCUGAUCAUUUUGGUGGAAAUAAUCUUUUUUUUUUUUGUUUAAAACGAACAAAAUUGUUUGUAGGGCGAGUUUUGAAAAAUUCAGUGAUUCACAAAUAAAGAUGGGCGUCCACAUAUUUGUAAACUUUGGCAAGGCUGGGUUGUCAAGGAAAUAGGUGUCCAGAGGCAAUGUUUGGGUGUAAACAGAACUACUCAUAUCAAACUCACGAAAACAUCCUUGAAUAUUAUUGGGCUACAUGCGCGAAAACAUUUGAACUACCCUUAUCUAAAUUUCCCCCCUUACUCCUGAGCAGAGUAAAACCCUGGUCAUUUCUUGAGGAAGAAGACGACGACGAAUUGGAGAAAAAUAGGGCGCUGAGCUGAACAGCGGCUAAAAGCAUAAAUUUUCUUUGUCCAUCUGCACGAACAGAGCGCCAGAAAAACUGGGCAAGAUCCUCAUUUUUCAACGUUUGUCUUAUUAAUUAGCUUCUGAUGAAAUUUCAUUCGCAUAUUGUGGUUUUAUCUGUUUGAUGAGAUUUUAAUGUAGAGUUUGUAUCUGUUCGAUGAAAUUUCAUUCGCAUAUUGUGGUUUUAGCAUGUGAUUGACUUGAGAUAGUAUUAGUACGACGUGUUAAUUGCAUGCGUACUUCCGUUCUUACAACUUAAGUAACUUGAACAACUUUUACAACUAAUUCUGUGGUUUGUUUUAGUGCAGAUGCAAGAAGUUUUGCGCAAUUCUUUAAACCCCAAGACACAAAACUACACAAAAGCAAAUCAAUCCACGAAUUAGAGAAGAACAGACUGAAAGCAAUAAUCACUUGGACUUGCAUUUUACGUUGGCUUCCCCAAAUAUUGAAUUCCAACCGUUCGAUGCCAGCUCUCCCUCCUCAUCACCACCGUUGGAUUCACCAGCACCGGGACAUCUCCCUCUUCCAGCCCAAAACUCCGUAUCCCUACCAAUUCCUCCACACCCACCUCUUGCAAAUCCUCCUCCAUCUAGGCCCACUUCCUCACCCAUCCCAAACCCAUCACAAAAUGGGCCUAGCCCACACCCACCAACCACAAUCCCAACCCCACCCAAAUCAGUCCUGAGCCCACCAGUCCUUCCGCCGCCAAUAGCUUUCCCUCCACCGUCCGGACCGCCAUCCCUUCCACAGAAAAAGCCACCGCAGUUUGCCGUGUAGUGCGUGGUGAAGCCGACAGUGCCGGACCCGAUAAUCCAAGAAGCCCUGGACUAUGCGUGUGGGUCCGGGGCAGACUGCAAGUCGAUCUGGCCCAAUGGGUCCUACUACCAGCCCAACACCGUAUGCUUCGUAUGCCUUCAAUAGUUACUGGCAGAACACGAAGAUCGCUGGAGGCACUUGUGACUUUGGAGGGACUGCCAUGCUUGUCACGGUUGAUCCAAGUAAGUCCAAAUUUUCCUCAUAUCAAGAUAUUAUUUUGGCAUAUUGCAUUUGAUAUUUUCGCAGAACUUUCCUUCAAGGACAAGUUGUUUCAUUCAAGGACAAGUAGUCAUUUCUUUAAAAUUUCAAACGCUAUUUUACUUUAGACUAAUCUAAAUUACGAUGGAAAAAUUAAAUAAGUUUGCCUAUGUAUCCAAAUUCCUUACUAAAUCUAGUGUACUUUGUUUUCAAAAAGUUAAUACAGAUCCGAAUCUUUUUUUUUGUUUUUUUUUGGGGUUAAGAACCCUAAUCGUUGUUAAUGGCGGGUGACAGCAUGAGAGUAUCACUUGACAAAACGAUAACUUUCGUUUACUCGAUUAUCUUGUCCUUAACUAUAAUGGUAAUCAAAUUAUAGAACUUUGAAGAAGAUAAUUAGAAGUACACGUCCAUGAGUGCAAAUUUAAUUUAUAAACCUACAAGCAGACCUACAUAUCUUAGAUUCCCAAGAAACAUAUAAUAAUUCAGUAAGCUGUAAGCUCUUUCUUUACUCGAUGACUGGAAAAUUGGACAUGGAAAACGCAUGCUACAGACGUCGAUACAGGAUGAGGAACCAUGACAAAAACUAAGUGUUUUUUUCCUCUCUUUUUCCUCAAACGAUAAACUAAUGUUUGGUAGAACAUUAUCCUGUCUUGGUUAAUAUAUUAGGAUUUAAAUAGUAACAUCCAGAAACAAAGAGAUAAUAUUGGAUGAAAAUCAACGUCUCUCUCUUCUGUAAGGGAGCAGGGUUGUUGGAAAAGGUAAUCAAGGAAAAGCCAUGCAGAACUUUGCAUUUUGAUUUGGACCCUCAAUCGAUUUCAAUUUGAUUGAGUGUACCCCUAAUGGGGAAUGAUUAAUUCUUCAAAGUUUUGCUAGCUAGCUAGCAUCACCUGCACGUAAAUGGGUGACUGUGAUAAAUCGCAAUUUAUUAUCAUUAAUAGUUAGGCAGUUGUCAAAUUAUUGAUGAAUCGAGAUUUAUGCUCCUCAAUAGCUGAAUGAUUAUCAAAUUAUUGAUGGGUUGAGAUUUACACUCAUCGACACUUGACAAUCACGCAACAAAUGUUACUAGGAAUUCUCCAAAAAAAUAUCUUACAUCGUAUUCAUUGGUGUCAUUGCUCAUCAUGUGCAUCUUUUGACCUUUACAAAAGAACCUGUCUCUAGCUAAAUUCCUAUGACUCUUACAUCUAUGAAAUAUAUGCUUAUAAAGUUUAACAAGUAGUUGCAGGUGGCCUUCUACCACAGUGAUAGAGAUGAGUGACGCCCUUGCAUGAUGGCGUGGGUUCGAACUCCGUCAAUGACAAAUUUACUUUCUAACUUAACAACAAUAUUGCUCAACUCCCAAAAAAAAAAAAAAGUUUAACAAGUAGUUAAUUAGUAAUAUUUAUCUUUCUUACUUUAAUUGUGGUGAGAUAUCUUUAGUAUUACUUUAUAUUUUCUUAUAGGGUGACCCCACACUAAAUUUGCUUAAUUUUAUCUCUUUUGCUUUAAAUUGGUGUUGCUUUGGAUGAAGGAUACAAGAUGCUAACACAUCCCUUGCAUGAUUGUGACAUGGCAGGUUAUGAUGAAUGCAAUUUCUUCUUCAACGGAUGAUCUUGAAACAUACAUACAUGUAUAUAUAUAUAUAUAUAUAUUAGCUAUUACGACAUUAAGAAAGAAAAAAAUGUUAGGAAGAUCAAAUUUGUUAGACUAUUUUUUGUAGACUCAUGAUGUGGUGGUUGAUGGUUGGACUCAUUUUUUUUAAUAAUUUAAAUAAAUAGUCUAACCAUCAAUCGCCACAUCAUGAUAGUUUAAAAUUUUAUUUAUUUUUUAGAAGAGAUCUACACACUAUGUAUACAUCACAUUUUAUUUAGGAGUUCCAUAUUUGUGAGUGCAAACGGAACUUUUGGCUGUAGAAGUAGCGGCACUUGAAAGUGAAGUUGUAUUGAUCUUCUUGUCUUCCAGUGUCCAUUUUAUGUACAUGGAAUAUACCUGUCGGUUAGCUGUUGCAUAUUCCCUUUGAGAUUUCCAGAUUGUCCAAAAACUGCAUACACACAUAUUUCUUUGAUUUAGCAGGAUUAAAAAGAAGGGUGCUUUUAUUUCACCAAUAAGAAAUAACUCAUAAUGACGAUGAUCUCAUAUAACAUUGUAGAGUCUGUUUGAUAAUUAUUCAUAUUUUAGUUUUUAUUCUAUAUGUUAAAGAUAGAACAUGAGAAAAUGCGGGCAUAGAAGAGUGGAGAAGUGAUGUUGGGAGAGAUGUAGAGAAGAUGUGUAAAGAAAGGUGUACGAAAUGAAAUCUAAAAACUAAAAUUAAAAAUUAUGUACUUUGAAUUGUUUUCACUUUCGAGAUUUUAUUUUCAUUCCUUCUUUGUUUUGUGCCGUCGCUCCCUCGACCUUUCUUCAUCCCUAAUCUCCUCAAUAUAUUUUGCCCAUAUCUCAAACAAAAUAUAAAAACUAAUAGUACAUACCCAAUGAAACUUGUUUCGUAACCAGCUAGCAUUACUACCUUUUCUUUUCCUCUCAAGAGUCGCGAUAGAAUAUCUAGCUAGAUCAAUGUUUUUGUCGACAAAGAUACCUUGCACCAAAAGUAGGCCAGCUGCUUUACCAUUUUUAGACAUACUUCAAAUGGCGUCUAGUGACCGAGAGGUUGGACUUUCACCAUUAAACACCAAUACACAGACUUGUUUGCAACAGGAAGACGAUGACAAUACAUGCAAGUGCUCAUUAUUUCAUCGGUAUUUAUAUAAAGGUAGUGCUAUCCAGACACCUAUUUUUACUUCUCACACACUAUCUUAAUUUUCGAUUGUCGGAACAAAUGAAUUGAUAAAAAUCAAAUGCCAAAAUUGAUAAGGGUGUGUGGAAACCAAAGCUAGAUGUUAAUAAUAAUAUCCUUAAUGUAAAUAAUAUCGUUGGUUAAAAUAAAAAACACUAUCCUUAGUCAAUUCUUUGGCGAACAUGACUUUUCACAUUACAAAAUAAUACAAACCCUAAUGACUUUUCAGAGGUCGUUCGAUGAUCUUUUUGUGGCAGCAAGUGAAGCAUUACUCUUAUCCUUAACUUGAAAAAAUAAAUUCAACCUAUUAUAUAUGUACAUGAUGGUUAUAUAUAUACGCACCAUGCAUGGACCAACGUCGUCUCACCCGGGCUUACACCACAUGUACUUUUUGAAAUGCAAUUUCAUGCAGCUAGGGUUAGCACCUAUAUAAAUUAAAAGAAAGAAUAAAUUACACUUUACUACUUUAAUUUUAUGUCGCAUAACAAACUCAUACAUCAUAUUUUAAACAUUGCAAUGUCAUACAUUAAAUUACGAAUUUGUUGUCAUAUCAAACUUCCGUUAAAAAAUCUGUUAAGUUAGCCGUUUAUCCACACAACCACUCAACGGUUAACUUAACAGAUUUUUUUAAUAGCGGUCCAACAUUUAACGAAUUUGUAAGUUAAUUGAUGUAAACAUUGGAAUGAUCAGAAGAUGAGAUAUAAGUUUGUUAUGUGACCCAAAAUGAGGUGGUAAAAUAUAAUUUACCCUAAAAAAAAUGUUCCUACAUCCAAAUUUCAAAAAAACAAAAUUUAAUUUCAAAAAUAUAUAGUAAGGUGUAUGGCCGACACCCAAAUGCGAAUGCAAUUGCUUCCGUCUAUUCAUAGGAAUGGCUAAACUUAAACUAAGAAAGAGGUAACACUGGUUGACUAGUCCUAUCCAAAGAAGGAAAUGAACACCCCCAUCCACACCUCCGCCCCCCCCACCCCGCAACCAAAAAAAACACCAUAUCCUUUUUAAGUUGAAAAAGUAUAGGGCCUAUUUUUGUCCCCAUGGUUUUUUCUUUUUUAUUUUUAUUUUUAUUUUUUAUACAAGAAAAUUUUGUUUGUGAAAGCAUCACAUGUGGUGGUUUUGGCAUCAUGAACCCAAAUCACGGGUCGACUAGCAAACUUCAUGUUCAAACUUUGCCUAUAUCAAAAUCCUUCCGAGUUUUCUUGAUUUCUUACCUUUAUCCUUAACCACAUAUAUGAAUAGAAAUUUGCAAGUUUACAAAAAUAUUAGAUUGAAAUUUUUUAAAUGAAUUUAAGCACACAAACACGAACAAAUGGAUUUAGUAUUGAUUCAUUCAACUUCAAGUAAUCAUUUUGCAAAUCCCUCUCAAUUCACUGUAUCUAUCAUUUCAAAUUCAUUCAUCUAAUCUUUUACAAUGCAUUUCUAAAUAAUUUAACUUAAAUUUAAUGGUACGUACAAAUCUGUCUUCCAAAGGCAUCCCAAUGCUCUUGUGUCGGAUUACUUGUAUAUCUGCUAAGCCUACUUACUGGAUAAUCUAAGUCAGGCCUAAUCGAAUUCAUCAAGUACAUUAGACUUCCAAUUACUUGAGAAUAUUCAAGUUGAGAUAUGGCAUUGCCUUUAUUUUUCUCCAACUUGCAUCCAGCAUCAAAAGAAAUUGCACCAGGUUUGCAGUGUCUAUUUUGUGUAAGGACAUACCCUUCACUAUUUCUCUUAAUGUGAAGUUGUAUUUAUCUUCUUGUCUUCCAGUGUCUAUUUUAUGUACAUGGAAUAUACCUGUCGGCUAGCUGUUGCAUAUUCCCUUUGAGAUUUCCAGAUUGUCCAAAAAUUGCGUACACACAUAUUUCUUUGAUUUAGCAGGAUUAAAAAGAAGGGUGCUUUUAUUUCACCAAUAAGUAAUAACUCAUAAUGAGGAUGAUCUCAUAUAACAUUAUUGAGUUUAUUUGAUAAUCAUUCUUUUUUUAGUUUUUAUUCUAUAUGUUAAAGAUAGAACAUGAGAAAUGUGGGCAUUGAAGAAUGGAGAAGUGAUGUUGGGAAAGAUGUAGAGAAUAUGUGUAAAGAAAGGUGUACAAAACGAAAUCUAAAAACUAAAAUUUAAAAUUAUAUACUUUGAAUUGUUUUCACUUUCGAGAUUUUGUUUUCAUUCAUUCUUCUUUGUUUUGUUCCUUCACUCCCUCGACCUUUCUUCAUCCCUAAUCUCCCCAAUAUAUUUUGCCCAUAUGUCAAACAAAAUAUAUAAACUAAUAGUACAUACCCAAUGAAACUUGUUUCGUAACCAGCUAGCAUUACUACUUUUUUUUUCCUCUCAAGAGUCGAGAUAGAAUAUCUAGCUAGAUCAAUGUUUUUGUCGACAAAGAUACCUUGCACCAAAAGUAGGCCAGCUGCUUUACCAUUUUUAGACAUACUUCAAAUGGCGUCUAGUGACCGAGAGGUUGGACUUCACCAUUAAACGCCAAUGCACAGACUUGUUUGCAAUAGGAAGAGGAUGACAAUACAUGCAUGUGCUCAUUAUUUCCUCCAUAUUUAUACAAAGGUAGUGCUAUCUAGACACCUAUUUUUCCUUCUCACACACUAUGUUAGUUUUUGAUCGUUGGAACGAAUGAAUUGAUAAAGGUCAAACACCAAAAUUGAUAACGAUGUGUAGAAAGCAAAACUAGAGAUGCUAAUAAUAUUAUCUUUAAUGUAAAUAAUAUCGUUUGUUAAAAAAAAAAAACACACACUAUCCUUAGUCAAUUCUUUGGCGAACAUGACUUUUCACAUUACAAAAUAAUACAAACCCUAAUGACUUUUCAAAGGUCAUUCGAUGAUCUUUCUGUGGCGGUAGGUGAAGCAUUACUCUUAUACUUAACUCGAAAAAAUAAAUUCAACCUAUUAUAUAUGUACAUGAUGGUUAUAUAUAUACGUGCCAUGCAUGGACCAACGUCGUCUCACGCGGCUUACACCACCAGUACUUUUUGAAAUGCAAUUUCAUGCAGCUAGGGUUAGCACCUAUGUAAAUUAAAAGAAAGAAUAAAUUAUAUUUUACUACCUCAAUUUUAUGUCGCAUAACAAACUCAUACAUCAUAUUUUAAAUAUUGUAAUGUCAUACAUUAAAUUACGAAUUCGUUGUCAUGUCAAACUUCUAUUAAAAAAUCUGUCAAGUUGGCCGUUUAUCCGCACAACCACUUAAUGAUUAACUUCACAAAUUUGUUAACCGUGGUCCAACAUUUAACGAAUUCGUAAGUUAAUUGAUGUAAACAUUGUAAUGAUCAAAAGAUGAGAUAUAAGUUUGUUAUGUAACCCAAAUAAGGUGGUAAAAUAUAAUUUACCCUAAAAAAAAGUUCCUACAUCCAAAUUUCAAAAAAUAAAAUAAAAUAAUAAUAAUAAUUUCAAAAAUAUAUAAUAAUGUGUAUGGCCGACACCAAUGCGAUUGCUUCUCAUUCAUAGGAUAGGAAUGGCUAAACUUAAACUGAGAAAGAGAAAACACUAGUUGACUAGUCCUAUGCAAGGAAGGAAAUGAACACCCCCAUCCCAAAACAAAAUCCAUAUCCUUUUUAAGUUGAAAAAGUCUGGGGCCUAUUUUUGUCCCUGUGGGCCCAUCUUUUACAUAUUAAUUAUCAAUUAGUACAUCCCAAAGCUAAACUCUAGAUUGGGAUCAAUUUUUAUUCUUCAUGUUUAUUACUUCAAUUGCUUUUUAUAAGAGACCAACCUUAUAAAGUAAGAGAACUUUUUAGUAGCGACCAAUGUAGAACAAUGAAAUUUCUACUCAAAAUUACCAACAUCUCUCUCUAUCAAGCACACACACUAACACUUAGGUCUGUCUCACUACCCAUAAAGCCUCUAUAAAGCCAUUUGCUUGGUAUUGGGUUUCAAUAUCCAGUUUUGUACCCAACUCUCUGGAGAGUUGUGGAGUUAUAGUAUUGACAUGGAGAUCAAUUAUGCUCUAGCUUUGCUCUUAGUCCUCUUUCUCAACUUGGGUAGUUUGCUCACUUCUCUUGCUAACUGCAAUUGCCAACCACCAAAGUACCCUCCAGUUCCCCACUUGCCACCAAGAAGCCACCACCGCAUGUCAAACCACCUCAUGUUAAACCACCCAUUGUAAAGCCACCUCCCUAUCCGAAACCUCCUGUUGCCAAACCACCUCCCCAUCCCAAACCCCCAGUUGUACUGCCUCCACCAUCUACCCCUAAACCCCCAACUGUAAAACCACCACCACCAUCUCCACCAAAGGACACGUGUCCUAUCGACACCCUAAAAUUGGGAGCUUGUGUAGAUGUGUUGGGUGGUCUUAUCCACAUUGGAAUUGGAAGCAGUGCCAAAGAUGCAUGUUGUCCGGUGCUUCAGGGACUGGUGGACUUGGACGCUGCUAUUUGCCUUUGCACCACCAUCAAGGCUAAGCUUCUCAAUGUCAACCUCAUCAUCCCCAUUGCUCUUCAGGUGCUCAUUGCUUGUGGGAAGACUCCUCCCUCUGGAUUCCAGUGUCCUGCAUAGAUGAUCAUCAUAUCUUAUUCCUAAAUCACACUUAGUAGUUGUUAAUCAUGUCAUCAUUAGUGAUGUGUGGCGCCAGCUAGCUGAUAAUAAAGCAUGUCAAAGCUUGAAAGUAAAAACUACUUGGAUAAAUUUGUUAUUCGUUUUUGUUUUGUUUUGUUUACUUGAAGAGUGUAUCAGAUAGAUAUAUUGUUGUAAUUUAGUCAUGUUAUUUUCUUGAACCUUGGAAGUAUAUAUAAUAAUCUGAGUUUAAAGAAGACCUUAAUUAACUCACCGUUUGUAAUCUCCUGUAGAGGACUUACAUGGAACACCACCACCGUGCCCAUGACAUCAUGGACUAAUAAUACAACUUCAUUUGUAAUUAAAGGAACUCACAUACGAUAUUAUAUUAUUGAACCGAGACACUAGUGUAAAUAUUUUAAAUUGAUGAUAGGAUCCUUUACUCUAUUCUUAUAGAGUUGAGUAAUAGUUUUAUAAAAUCAUUAAAAUUAGAGCUAAAAUAACUAUUAAAUUAUGAAUUUUCAUUUCUAAACGUCGAAGAAUUUCGUCCUGUUACCUAAUAUGGUGAUUUUUGGAGUGUGCAAUCUUAGAGUAUAUAAAAACAAGUUUGAUAGUUUGAUUGCUGAAAUUAAUUUUGAGACAUCGAAAAUCAUCUAAAGAACUAAAUACGCCAAUCAUGUCUGUUACCUUUGCCUGACGAAAUAUUAUGUUUUGCCUUAUGAAAUAUAAACCCUAAUUACAACAUAUACCUUUGCGCGACGAAAGCUGGGAGGUUCGUCGUGUAAAGGUUGCCAUUUUAUGUGCCAAACUUUUAUCUUGGUGUGAAAACUUUAACCCACGACAUAAGCUUUGCUCGUCAAACUCUGUUCGCCAGGCAAAAGCAUCUGCAGAAACCAAAACGUUUGACCGUUUUGCUCGACAAACGUUUAUUUUGUCGGGUAAAGACUAUUUGGCGGAUGAAAUACCGUUCGUCUAGCAAAACUUUGUCGAAGAAAUGGUAAUUUCUGGUUGUGUAAUAUAUAUAUAUAUAUAUAUAUAUAUAGGUUUCUCUCCCUUGUGUGUGGCUAUUAUGUCUGUAUCUAUUGAUAAUAGCGUGUUCGCAGGUUCACGUGAAUGUGUAGACUGUAGUGCAUUGAAUUAUUUUAACUGCAUACGUUAGGUACCGCAUGUAAGAUAUCAGAAGGAAAAAAAUAUCAACGUCAAGACUUUCAAAAAUAUAUCAACGUCAGGUACCACAUGUAAGAUACAUGCAACACGUACAACUUUCUUAUGGAUUUUGGAAGUUUGUCUGUAUUUAUACCAAGGCUUCCAAAAAAUACGAGCCUUCUCCUGCAUCGAAGUCCUGCUGAAUCACAUCCACCAAAUCCAAAGGGGAUUGGGAAUAUAAAAAACAAAAAACAAAAAAACAGGUUAGCGAUCGUACGAUCGAUAUCGACCACCAUAUCGACAAUAUAAAGGGAAAAAGAAUAAGAAAUGACAUGUCAUCACCUAACAUUUUCAAUAAUGUCACUAAAACAUUUCAAGUUCCAAUUCAAUCAACCUUUCCUGUCAGCAACGUAUGUCUCGCAUGCUGACAUGCAAUGCCGACCUCUAGCGUAUAUUUAAAGGAAUUUUAACGAAAAGUUUUCGAUACUGUUCAUUUUAACGAAAAAUUACAUUUUUACACUAAAAAGUCAAUUCUGGUACUAUUCAUUUUACCCUUUAUUUUAUCAUUAUCGUUAAAACUCAAAGUUUUCAAACUAUUUUAAUUAGUUUUUCUUAUAUUUAAACUAACAUAAAUAAUAGAUUAAUUUAAACCAAAUUAAACUAGCAAGCGCACAAAUCAAUUGUAGUAAUAUAUACAAAUACGAGGUCAAUCCCACAAGGAUUGCUUUAACACCAAUUUAACCGAUUAAUCAUGCUAGACUUAAUUAAACAAACAAAUGAUAGAUUGAGUUGAAUAAUUGAGUAAUUGAUUAAGACUAUAAUUAACAAGAAAAAUAAAAGACAAUUAAUUAAAACACACACAACAUAAGAAAACCUAAUUUUAUGAAUCCACCAAUAACAAUCCUAUUUACUUUUCCUAGAGCCAACUACUAUCCAAUUACCAUGCCAAUGUUAAAUGUUGUUCUUUCUAAGGUAUGAAUUAAUCCGUGGUCAAUCAUCAACUCUUGUAUCUCUAUAUGAUAAUUAUAUCCUAUUGGUUAGGCAUACAAUUAAACACAUAAAACCCCAUUAAGCGUUGAAGAAUCAUGUCAACCAAGUAGGACUAGUUUGAUAUUGGUCAUCCUCACUAUUUUGUCUACUUUUCUUAAUCUUAGUUCCAAUAAACCUAAUUGAUUGGGCAUCCUCAUAGAUUUAUCUAAAUAUCUAGAUACAAAAUUCAUAAAGGUGAUCAAUGAUUAGAAACUCAAACCUAGAAUAAAAUACCCACAAAGAUUAAAAAUAUAACAUGACAUAUAAUUAGAUAAUAAUUAACAAAGUACUUCGCAAAUAUUCAUGUCAUGGCUUCAUCAUAAACCUUAAAAAAUAACUUAGUUACACAUAGAAAUAAAAAUAAAAGAAAGAUAGAACCCGGAACCCAUAGCAAAGCACGUCCCUAAGCUCUUCUUCACAAAUUGCGGAGAUGGUGAAUGGUAGUAUGGUGUGGGUGAUAUGGGUAUGCUGGGGUGGAUGAUAUCUUAGAGAGCUUAGGGCACUUAUCUAUACUAGAAUAACCCUAAAAGGUCUAGGAGAACUCUCCUAAAAUAAAACAAACUCCUAAACAAUUUAUGACACAAACUAGAAAAAGAAUCCUUCUUGGCUUGGGAAACACGUCAUCUGUCUUGCACUCCAGUUUUGGGGUCGAUUUAUCUUCUGGAAAAUUCUGUACAAAUAUGGGAAACAUAGCUUUAUCUCUUAUCUUUCCAAGCAUAUAUCGCAUGUCACUAGGAAAAAUCAGGAAAGCCUCCAAAUCUUCAUUCUCUCACAGCCGUGCAAUUCUGAUGGGAAAACAACUUCUGCGGGAUUGAUUUGUGAAACUGAAAUGAAUGGCUCUAUGGAAAAUUAUGAAAUUCGGAUACAACGAUCUUCAGCCCCUUAGCUUCCUUCUCCAAUUGGCCUUGCAUCAAAACUCCUCCGGAAAGUCGAGUUAUCACCAAAAACGUCCCAAGUGUGCAGAAUAGCUGAAACUGAGAAAAAGAAAGUAAUAAAGCUCUUUUAUAAUCAAUUCCUUAACAAAACAUAGGGAUAAUUAUUAUGAAAAUAUGAUAAAUAAUGCACCUAUCAACCUCUCAACAGCAAAGCACUUAUGUCACUCCUACGAGAAAUUCUAAGAUCCGACCGAACAAGCCAAGACACAAAAAACCCUUCCCCUAUCCCACCCCGAUUUUAACAUGUUAACCUGGCCUACUUUUAGUCUCACUCUCCUCUCACACCACCUCCAAGUCGAAUGUCCUAGCUACACAAAAACCUCUCUCCAGUCUUUUUAUAAUCCCGCUCUAGUAACCUCAGUUGAAUGACAGGAUAAAUUUGAAUUUUCUUUGGGGGAGGAGGAAAUAAAACCGCCCAAAUAUGUAUCGGAUCACUUGUGCAUCAUGCAGUAUUCAAAUUAACGUGGGUAAAAUGUGGUUUCGUUAGUACUUUGAUGCCUCAGUUUUUCUGCUUUCUUUUGGUAUACACAUUAUUAUAGUGCACCACUUAAUCAGCACACCAUUUGAUAACUCCCUAGCUAGUAUAUACGUUAUUUUUUUAUCUCAUUCAUUUUCUUCCUAGUCUCUCUUCUUUUCUUUUUCCUUUUUUUUUUUUUCCAAUUAGAGGAAACAAUGCUAAGAGAUAUAAUUUUGACAUUAACCCUAAACCGUAAUUUUAUAUAUGAACCAUAAACCCCAAUUUUUUAUCUGAUCAUUUUGGUGGAAAAUAAUCUUUUAUUUUUUUGUUUAAAACGAACAAAAUUGUUUGUAGGGCGAGAUAUGAAAACUUCACAAAUAAAGGUGGGCGUCGGGCGUCCACAUAAUUGUAAACUUUGGCAAGGGUUGUCAAGGAAAUAGGUGUCCAGAGGCAAUGUUUGGGUGUAAACAGAACUACUCAUAUCAAACUCACGAAAGCAUCCUUGAAUAUUAUUGGGUUACAUGCGCGAAAACAUUUGAACUACCACCUUGGUUAUUUCUUGAGGAAGAAGACGACGACGAAUUGGUGAAAAAUAGGGCGCUGAGCUGAACAGCGGCUAAAAGCAUAAAUUUUCUUUGACCAUCUGCACGAACAGAGCGCCAGAGAAACUGGGCAAGAUUCGCAUUUUUCAACAUUUGUCUUAUUAAUUAGUUUCUGAUGAAAUUUCAUUUGCAUAUUGUAGUUUUAUCUGUUUGAUGAGAUUUUAGUAGAUUUUGUAUCUGGGUUUUGAUGUUUUCAGUUUUUCACAUAUGUAAUAACUUCGUACGUUAGAUUGAAGAAGAGCUUUUUUUCCCUUUUGUAUUCGAUUUUUGGGUGUUCUUACUGUAAGUUUGGAUAUUUACUCGACAGUUACUCGACAGUUGUCAUAAAGAUGUCUAGGAGAUACGAUAGCCGUACAACAAUCUUCUCCCCUGAGGGCCGUCUCUACCAAGUUGAGUAUGCAAUUGAGGCCAUUGGGAAUGCAGGCACCGAAUAGGGAUACGUUGCAGCAUGUGAUUGACUUGAGAUAGUUUUAGUGUGACGUGUUAAUUGCAUUUGUACUUCCCUUCCUACAACUUAAGUAACUUGAACAACUUUUACAACUAAUUCUGUGGUUUGUUUUAGUGCAGAUGCAAGAAGUUUUGCGCAAUUCUUUAAACCCCAAGACACAAAACUACACAAAAGCAAAUCAAUCCAUGAAUUAGAGAAGAGCAAGCUGAAAGCAAUAAAUCACUUGGACUUACAUUUUACGUUGGCUUCCCCAAAUAUUAAAUUCCAACCGUUCGAUGCCAGCUCUCCCUUCUCAUCACCACCGUUGGAUUCACCAGAACCGGGACAUCUCCCUCUUCCAGCGCCAAGCUCCGUAUCCCCAGUUCCCACCAAUUCCUCCAAACCCACCUCUUGCAAAUCCUCGUCCAUCUGGGCCCAUUUCCUCAUCCAUCCCAAACCCACCAAAAAAUUGGCCUAGCCCACACCCACCAACCACAAUCCCAACCCCACCCAAAUCAGUCCUGAGCCCACCAGUUCUUCCGCCGCUAAUAGCUUUCCCUCCACCGUCCGGACCGCCAUCCCCUCCGCAGAAAAAGCCGCCACAGUUUGCCGUGUGAGGCGUGGUGAAGCCGACAGUGCCGGACCCGAUAAUCCAAGAAGCCCUGGACUAUGCGUGUGGGUCCGGGGCAGACUGCAAGUCAAUCCGGCCCAAUGGGGUCCUGCUACCAACACAUUGUUGUCGCAUGCUUCGUAUGCCUUCAAUAGUUACUUGCAGAACACGAAGGUCGCUGGAGGCACUUGUGACGCAGGGACUGCCAUGCUUGUCACGGUUGAUCCAAGUAAGUCCAAAUUUUCCCCAUAUCAAGAUAUUAUUUUGGCAUAUUGCAUUUGAUAUUUUCGCAGAACUUUCCUUCAAGGACACGUUGUUUCAUUCAAGGACAAGUAGUCGGUUCUUUAAAAUUUCAAACGUUAUUUUAUUUACAUUAAUCUAAAUUGCGACUAAAAAAUUAAAUAAGUGUGCCUACGUAGUCUAAAUUCCUUACUAAAUCCAGUUUUCUUUGUUUUUAAAAGUUAAUACAAAUCCGAAUUUUUGUUUUUUGGGUUAAGAACCUAAUCGUUGUUAAUGGCGGGUAACAGCAGGAGAGUAUCACUUGACAAAACGAUAGCUUUCGUGUACUCGAUUAUAUUGUCCUUAACUGUUGACAAAACGAUAGCUUUCGUGUACUCGAUUAUAUUGUCCUUAACUGUAAUGGUGAAAGUCCAAGGGUACUAAUUUAAUCUAGACUAUAAAUAAAUUUCAACUUAAUACUAAUUUAAAUUAUGACUUAAAAUAAUCAUUUAUGCAAACUUAAUCCUACACAAAUAUUUAGCACGAAUAUAAAGAGCACACACAAGAUGUAGGAUUUUACGAGGCAAAACCCACCACUGGGAAAAUCCUCGGGCUACCAAGCCAGGAAGCAAUAAGAAAGAAAGAAUACAUAAAGACUUACAAAACUCAUCAACUAGACACUCAUACCAGUUGGCAGCUUUGUCUCCGCACUUUGCUACUCGAUCUUUCUUCAGUCUUCAAGUUAAAGUGGCACAACCCUAACGCAGUCGUCAAUCACUUUUCCCUCGAACUUUGCAGGAUGCUAACUCGAUCAUGCAUAAUAUUUAUAUAAUGAAGUGUUUGUUUGAAAAACAAUCAAUUACGAAAAUCACAAAGCUCAUUUCCAUAAUUGAUAUUCAAUUUAAAACCUCAAAGAAAACAGCAUGAAAAAUAACAAUUUCUCUCAAAAACCCAUGCUGUUGGAACCACAAGCUAACAACACUAUCCAAAUUGUUUUGUUCACGCACUCAAAAACCAAGCUGGUGUUUCUCAAAAAUUCAUUUCAAUAAAAUCAGUUUUUCAUGCGAUAUAUGGCUCACGUUCUCAAAGUCCCUGACAUCUCUUAUAAGGACUUAGAGUCCCACAUCUAUUAAACCGAUAAUAGUGCAAACCGUGUAGUCAGAUAACUCCCAUGCAAUCAGAUAAGUUCCAUCGUGCAAUUAGAUUAUUAUGAAAAGAUGUUUUAAUAAUUAAUAUAGAAAGGAUACGUCAACUUAAAGAUACAAAACACACAGUGAAAAAGAGACCCAUCUCAAAUACAAUAGCAUGAGAUAUAGAUGAAUGUAGUUGGAUGCAUGCGUGCAAACGUACCUGAAUGAGAAUCGCGUUUCGAUAACAUCUUCGCAUCAAAAGUGUGAGAAAACUCCCUAGACUAAAACUAUUACAAUUGUAAAUAUGUAACAAGUCUAAGCUAUUACAGACUCAGGCAUUUUGUCAGGGAUUGCAAUUUUACCCUAACAAUCUCCCCCUUUGGCAUUUCCUUGACAAAACCCUUAAUUACGACAUUUUAGAAAUCGUAAACCUUAUGCACUUAAGUCUGUAAUCUGUACACAGUUAAACGAAACACCCGUGACGUACAAAAGAUAGAUGUUGCAAGAAUAUUAGGAUAAUCAUUUAAACAUAUCAACAUCGCACAACGUUCAUAAAAUAAAAAGAGACUUUAUUAAAAAAAAUAUAAAAAGAACAUAAUAGAACUCUCACAACUAAAAUAAAAAUAAAAAUAAAACUUCUAGCUAAAAACUAUCUCAUCUAUUUCUCCCCCUAACUAUAGUCUCUCCCCCUUUUUGGCACAGGAAAAGCCAAAGAAAGAAAAUCAAUCAUCCUUGGCGGCACCGUCUUCAUCAGAAACCCAGUAGAGAUCUUCUUCUGGAUCCUCUUCGGGUUCUUCUUCAGGAUCCUCUUCUGGAUCAUCUUCUGGAGUAAGAGUGGGCAGUGGUGAGUGGUCCAGAAUGGGGGGACAAGGAGUACGAGUAGACGGUGGAACACAAUCAGAGCGGAAGUCAACCUCGUCAUCAGAUGAAGAAAUAUGAAUAAGAGGAGCAAACAAGUGGUUGGGAAGGCGAUGAAAACAUUGCUCAGAUCAAGCAUUUGUUGGAAGACCGCUUGUGAAAAAUCAACAUCAGGCAAAGCUGAACAAUCAGAGGGGGAAGAAAACAAUCGACGUUUCGCAGAACGUGUACGGGGAGAAGAGAAGGAAGGAUUAGUAACAGGAGUCUUGCCUUUCGGAGCUUGAGGACAUGCAGACUUGCGUGAGGAUGCCAUGACAAAAAAAUGUUUGUGUACAACGUGCAAUGAAUAAAAAAAAACCGACAAUAAAUAAGAGAGAACCACAAAUUGACCCCAAUUGUAAAGCAACUAAAAUACCAAAAAGAUAAAAAAUAAAACAGAAUACAAGAUGUAAUGUCCACAGAGACAUAAUACGAACGGGAGACAGCCAAAACAAUCGAAACCAUAGACAUGCAAUAUGAUUAAACAAGCCAACUCAACAGCAACCCCUAAACUCACAAGGAAUAUUCUCAAUUAUCACUCAAGGUGCUUGGGUUGAAGUGUGUACACUCAAAAAGAUCAUUAUGUGAAUGCUCUACCAUAGGCUUGCAGAUCAAUCUCAUCUCCACACAUCAACAACCUACCCUCAAGAGAUGAAGUAAGUUCUUACGAAGGGUUGUAACAGGGCGUAGGCACUAGAUGAAGUUAAAAAAGGAUAAGGAGAACAUAAGGCCGAGAAGCUAUAGAGUCCUUGAGACAUAAAACUGGAAAGAGUUUGAGACAGAGAUAACCACAAGAGCAUUAGAGAGUGCUUUGCACAUUUGAUAUAUUCGUGGUCUUCAUGUACAGCUGUUACUUUGAUUGUCUUCAGAGAUAAACAGCCACCAUGUGUGGCAAACAUACGACUCUUGAUUCCUUGUUUUUUUUUUUUUUUCAUAUCUUUUUCUUGACUUGGAAAGUUGCUGUCAGCACAAUUUUUGUGUUUGCAGUAGUGAAACAAUCGUGGACUCUUCUCCUUAAAAAUGAUUGAUGCAACUGGCUUUGAUUUUGCAAUGGAGGUGAGAAUCAGUGUAUAAAAAUGGAAGAGGGUAAUAUAUACUGAAGGAGAUGCUCAAUAAUGCGGAUAGGGAAAAAUAGAAAGGCACUGGCUUAUAGGAUAAUGAUGAAGAACGUAAGUCCUACUUUUAUCUCAAGAGGAGAGUAAGGAGUGAUACAAAGCCUUGAGAGAUCUCAAAGCAAGUUCUAGAGAGUCAAAUCACAUAAGAUAGAUCACACAGAAACAAUUAAAAGUGUAUGAAAAAUGCAUACACUAACUAGAGGCUCAAACCUCACAGGGUGCGGAGUUUCUGGCAAGUAGUCAUGUUUAAUCAGAAAACAUUCAUAUAGUAUCAACCACCAAGGCAAAAUAUAUCAUGUUUAGCACAAAGCAGAGGAUUUUGUGGACAACAGUUGUGUAUAUAAAAAAUAUGGAAAUCCUUUGUUUUUUUUUUUCCGGUACUUUUAUGAAGAAACAACUAAAAAAAAUGAAAAGAGAGAAAGAAAAAAAAACAUGAAAAAAAAAAUGAAAACAAACAGAAGUUAAGAAACACGACAGAUUCCUAAUGCCUUGCGAAGGGUUUCAAAACGAUGAGUGUCUAAAGGCUUAGUAAACAAGUCUGCAAGUUGAUGUUCAGUGGCAAUGUAUUCCAGUACUAAAACCUUCUCUUCAACCAAAACACGAAUGAAGUGAUGACGAAUGUCAAUGUGUUUGGUACGAGAAUGUUGAACAGGAUUCUUGGAAAUGUUUAUAGCACUAGUGUUGUCACAGAAAAUAGAGAAAGCAUUUUGAUGAAUGCCAUAAUCACGAAGCAUUUGCUUCAUCCAAAGCAAUUGUGUACAACAACUACUAGCAGCUAUGUAUUCGGCUUCGGCAGUGGAUAAAGAAACACAGUUUUGUUUCUUACUAUGCCAAGCGACAAGAUUAUUUCCAACAUAGAAACAACCUCCAGAGGUACUUUUCCGAUCAUCAGCAUUUCCUGCCCAAUCGGCAUCGGAAAAUCCAACAAUUUCAGAAUUGGUUUCAAAGGAAUAAUGUAGUCCAAACUCAACUGUACCACUCAUAUACCUGAUGAUUCUUUUGACAGCUUCCAGAUGCGACUCUUUUGGAUCAGCUUGAUACCGUGCACAAGCACCGACGCUGAAAGAGAUAUCAGGCCUACUAGCAGUAAGGUACAACAAACUACCAAUCAUACUCAUAUAAAGUGUUUGAUCAACACUUUUUCCAUUUGGAUCCUUGUGAAGUUUUGUGGUUGUUGCCAUGGGAUUGGAGACUGGUUUUGCUGAAGUCAAGCCAAACUUCUUAACUAGGUCACUAGCAUAUUUUGUCUGAAAGACGAAAAUACCUUCUUCAACUUGUUUGACUUGUAAUCCCAAGAAAAAAGUUAGUUCUCCACACAUGCUCAUUUCAAAUUCACUCUGCAUGACCUUAGUAAAUUCUUGUACAAGUGUGGCAGAUGUGGAACCAAACACUAUAUCAUCCACAUAUACUUGUGCUAUCAUCACGUCCUUCUUGAUUCUUUUAACAAACAAAGUCUUGUCGACAGCUCCUCGAAUAUAUCCUUUCUGUAACAAGUACGUUGAGAGUUUGUUGUACCAUGCUCUCAGAGCUUGCUUUAAACCGUACAAAGCUUUCUUCAAACGGUAUACAUGAUCAGGAUGUUUUGGAUCAACAAACCCCUUUGGCUGCUCCACAUAGACUUCUUCUUGAAGUAUUCCGUUUAAGAAAGCACUCUUGACAUCCAUUUGAUAUAAUUUGAAACGCAGAUGACAAGCAAAAGCAAGUAACAACCUAAUGGACUCCAAUCUCGCAACGGGUGCAAACGUUUCGUCAAAAUCCAAACCUUCUACCUGGGUGUAUCCUUGAGCAACGAGACGGGCUUUAUUUCUUGUGAUGAUACCAUGUUCAUCAGUUUUGUUUCGAAACACCCACUUUGUUCCUAUAACAUUUGUUUCUUUGGGUCGGGGAACAAGGUACCAUACAUCAUUUCUAACAAAUUGAUUGAGUUCCUCUUGCAUGGCCGUUAUCCAGUCAUCAUCUAGUAGAGCUUCCUUGGCAUUUUUUGGCUCAAUCGUUGAUAUGUAGCAUGUGAAGUUUACUAGAGCAGUAGUUUUACUUCUUGUCAACAUUUGAUCUUCGACGUCACCAAUGAUGUCUAACUUGAAGUGAUCUUUUUGCACUUGCUUGUGUCAUUUUCUCAAGGAUUUUGUUGAAUCAAUAUUUUGAUGCACUUUACCCUGAGUAGUGGAUAACCCUUCAACUGAUUUGACUUGAAAGAAUUCUUCAUCUGAAGCAGAUUGUUCAAUACUUACGAGAGAGUCAUUCACAACAACAUUAAUGGACUCCAUAACAUUUUGAGUUCUCUUGUUGAACACCCUGUAUGCUCUACUGGUGAGAGAGUAUCCUAGAAAAAUUCCAAUAUCAUUUCGAGAAUCAAAUUUUGCUAACAUUUCUCUAUCUCUGUAAAUGUAGCAUAUACUACCGAAUACUCGCAAAUGCUUAACAUUUGGCUUCUUCCCUUUCCAGAUCUCAUAGGGUGUACACUUUGUACCGGGUCUAAGAUAGACUUUAUUAGCCGUAUAGCACGCAAUGCUAACUGCUUCAGCCCAGAAAUGCUUAGCCAAACGAGCGCUUGUCAGCAUGACACGACUCAUGUCAAGUAAAACACGAUUCUUUCGUUCCACGACUCCGUUUUGUUGAGGAGUGAUUGGAGCAGAAAAAUUGUGAUCAAUUCCUUUUUCAUCACAAAACUUAGAAAAUGAUAUGUUUUCAAAUUCAGUUCCGUGAUCGGUUCUGAGUUUUACCACACGAUCAUUUGAAGCCACUCUAUCAUUUUGAAUUUUAUUCAACAAACCAAAAAAUGCUGUGAACGCAUCAGAUUUCUCUCGCAAGAAGACAACCCAAGUAAAGCGUGAGAAAUCAUCCACCAAAACAAGUAUGUAUUUUUUUCCCCCAAUGCUUUCGGUUUGUACUGGUCCAACCAAGUCCAUGUGCAUCAGUUCCAAAGGUCGUGAAGUUGAGAUGUAAUUUGUGGAUUUGUGUGAACUCUUGGUUUGCUUUCCCAUUUGACAUUCUCCACAAAUUCCAAGUUCUCCAGUCAACAACGGUAAACCUCUUACAUAUUAUUUCUUGGAAAGCUUGAUCAAAUCCUUACAGUUCAUGUGACCCAAUCGUUUAUGCCAUAAAUCCAAAACAUCGUCAGUUGCUUUAUUGCAUAUGUCUGGCACAUGUAACUCAUUUGCAUUCACACAAUAACAAUUGUCUUUAGACCUUUUUCCUUCAAAACUGUCAACCUCUUUAGCAAUCUUUACACUACAUUUCAACUUAUUGAAAAGUACUUCAGCAUCAUCAUCAUCACAAAUUUGACUAAUGCUAAUUAGGUUAGCUUUAAGUCCAUCUACUAACAUGACAUUUUUUAAGCAUGGAAUUCCUAGUGUUUUGAUUUCUCCUUUUCCAACGAUCCUUGCUCUUUUUCCAUCUCCAAACAUGACUGCUCCAUUUUUGCAAUCCUCGGUGAAAGUUGUGAACCAUCUUUUGUCUCCAGUCAUGUGCCUUGAGCAACCACUGUCUAGAUACCAAGUAUCAGACUGACAAGAUGAGAGAGCAGUGAAGGCCACCAAGCAUGUAAGAUUGUCCUCCUCAGAUGAAGGUGACACCUUAUCCAACAACCAAAUUUGAGUCUCUUUUCUUCUCCAUACUUGCUUUAAGUUUUGAGUAAGGAAGUUAGGCAUUAUUUUUGAAAUUCUAUUCAUUCCCUUUGGAUGAGCAACAAAUCUCCCUUUGAGAUUUGAUUUUUCAGAAAUCCAAGAAGUGGUGUGUUUAGUUUGAUUUUCCUUUCGAAGUUUGUAACACCUAGGUCUGAUAUGUCCUAUUUUUUCACAGUAGUGACGGAUAGGAAUAAAAGUUUUUGACCUAAUGAACUUCUUUGGAUCAACAAAAUUUCUCACGGAAUUUGACUCUUUUGUAGUGAUACACGAAUUUCCAAAAGAUUCAUCUACUCACUUUCCUGCUAGGUUCUUGUAAAGCUUUGAUAAACUUGGUAACAGAAGUGGAAGAACUUCCAGUUAUAUCAAAACCUAGACCGCUUCGAUCACUUGAAAUCUUUCCAUAGCUCAACAUUUUGUCAAUUUUGCUUGAGCCAAUGCUAAACUCUUCAACUUUCUUCUUUAUGUCAUUCAAUUCACUUUCAAGACCUUUGUUGUCUGAUGCUAGCAUAUGUAGCUUCUCCAACAUUGACUCUCGUAGCUUUUCUGCAUGUUCCAUUUGAGAUUGAUGCUCGGUCUCUGCUUCCUUCUUCUCACUUUCAAGCUGCACGAGUUUAUUUUUCAGUUAUUCAUUUUCCUUCUUCACUUUCAUGGUGAUAUCAUAAAGUGCAGUGUACUUUUGUAAGACUUUUACGGAGUCAGGCUCUUCAACUUCCGAAUCAUCAGUCUCAUAUCCAUCAAAAGUUCCAAUAAAUGCAACCACUUCCUCAUCAUCUUCAGAUGCCGUGUCUUUUUCUGACUCACUGUCGCUCCACGUGGAAGUUAAAGCCUUGUUCUUUUCAUCUUUCAGCCUUUUAAGAGUAUUGGCACAUUCAUGAGCAUGAUGUCCAUACCCUUGACACUCGAAACACUUAUCUUUAUCAUUCCAACUUUUCUUUUCACCAAGUUUGACAGACUUGGGAGUAUUUCCAUGAGAAACAUCUCUAGAACGAGGGACUUUAGAGUUUGAAUCAAAAUUGUUUCGACUUUCACGUCCCCUAGAACUUCUAAGCUUCAAAAAUUUCCUAGCUUGUUUGGUAAGGAGGGCAAAUUCGUCUUGAGUCAAGGUUUCAAAUGGAUCCUCAUUCAUUUUUUCAUUAUUGACUUUAAAGGCAACAUUUUUCCCUUUCUUGCCUUCUGUAAAGUCGGACUCAUAUGUUUGUAAGGAUCCAAUCAAUUGUUCUAACUUGUAAGUGUUCAAAUCUUUCGAUUUUCUAUAACUGUCCUUUUUGCAUGAAACCUUGAAGGAAGAGAUCUUAGAAUUUUCUUAACAACCCUAUGCUCUGGAAUGCUAUCACCAAGAUUGUGACAACCAUUGACAAUUACACUAAGCUUAGCAUAGAAGUCAGAAAAACUCUCAUCAUCUAGCAUUUUGAUAUUUUCAAAUUUUGUGAUGAGAUUUUGAAGCUUGGAUUCUUUGACAGUAGAGUUACCUUCAUGAGUAACUUCAAGAAUAUCCCAAGCUUCUUUUGCCGUUAUGCAUUUACUAAUGUAGUUAAAUUGCUCAGGCGAAACGGCAGUAAAUAACGCAUUCAAUGCCCUUUGAUUGAAUGUGCUAGAGUUGCGUUCUUCUUCGCUCCAUUCCCUUCUAGGCUUAAGCAACGACAUGGUUACCGAAGACUGUCCUUCGCCUUUGGUUUCUUUAACUAUUGGAGGUUCCCAGCCUUCUUCAACCGCAAGCCAUACUCUGUCGUCAAGCGCCUAGAGAAAUGAUUUCAUCUUUGCCUUCCAUGCAGCGUAGUUGUCACCAUCAAAAUGUGGUGGAUGAGAAACUGAACCCAUAGCACGAUUCAUCCUAGACUACCCACGGAUCUCACUAGAUAUUUUUAGUGACCUACUCUGGUGCCAAUUGAAAGUCCUAGGAUGGGUACUAAUUUAAUCUAGACUAUAAAUAAAUUUCAACUUAAUACUAAUUCAAAUUAUGACUUAAAAUAAUCAUUUAUGCAAACUUAAUCCUACACAAAUAUUUAGCACGAAUAUAAAGAGCACACACAAGAUGUAGGAUUUUACGAGGCAAAACCCACAACUGGGAAAAUCCUCGGGCUACCAAGCCAGGAAGCAAUAAGAAAGAAAGAAUACAUAAAGACUUACAAAACUCAUCAACUAGACACUCAUACCAGUUGGCAGCUUUGUCUCCGCACUUUGCUACUCGAUCUUUCUUCAGUCUUCGAGUUGAAGUGGCACAACCCUAACGCAGUCGUCAAUCACUUUUCCCUCGAACUUUGCAGGAUGCUAACUCGAUCAUGCAGAAUGUUUAUAUGAUGAAGUGUUUGUUUGAAAAACAAUCAAUUACGAAAAUCACAAAGCUCAUUUCCAUAAUUGAUAUUCAAUUUAAAACCUCAAAGAAAACAACAUGAAAAAUAACAAUUUCUCUCAAAAACCCAUGCUGUUGGAACCACAAGCUAACAACACUAUCCAAAUUGUUUUGUUCACGCACUCAAAAACCAAGCUGGUGUUUCUCAAAAAUUCAUUUCAAUAAAAUCAGUUUUUCAUGCAAUAUAUGGCUCACGUUCUCAAAGUCCCUGACAUCUCUUAUAGGACUUAGAGUCCCACAUCUAUUAAACCGAUAAUAGUGCAAACCGUGUAGUCAGAUAACUCCCAUGCAAUCAGAUAAGUUCCAUCGUGCAAUUAGAUUAUUAUGAAAAGAUGUUUUAAUAAUUAAUAUAGAAAGGAUACGUCAACUUAAAGAUACAAAACACACAGUGAAAAAGAGACCCAUCUCAAAUACAAUAGCAUGAGAUAUAGAUGAAUGUAGUUGGAUGCAUGCGUGCAAACGUACCUGAAUGAGUAUCGCGUUUCGAUAACAUCUUCGUAUCAAAAGUGUGAGAAACCUCCCUAGACUAAAACUAUUACAAUUGUAAAUAUGUAACAAGUCUAAGCUAUUACAGACUCAGGCAUUUUGUCAGGGAUUGCCAAUUUUACCCUAACAAAUGGUAAUCAAAUUAUAGAACUUUGAUGAAGAUAAUUAGAAGUACACGUCCUUGAGUGCACAUUUAAUUUGUAAACCUACAAGCACAUCCACAUAUUUUGGAUUCUCAAGAAACAUAUAAUAAUUCAGUAAGCUGUAAGCUCUUUCUUUACUCGAUGACUGGAAAAUUGGAUGCAAAAAACGCAUGCUACAGACAUCGAUACAGGAUGAGGAACCAUGACAAAAAGUAAGUGUUUUUUUUUCCUCUCUUUUUCCUCAAACGAUAAACUAAAUGUUUGGUAGAACAUUAUCCUGUCUUGGUUAAUAUAUUAGGAUUUAAAUAGUAACAUCCAUAAACAAAGAGAUAAUAUUGGAUGAAAAUCAACGUCUCUCUUCUGUAAGGGAGCAGGGUUGUUGGAAAAGGUAAUCAAGGAAAAGCCAUGCAGAACUUUGCAUUUUUGUUUGGACCCACAAUCGAUUUCAAUUUGAUUGAGUGUACCCCUAAUGGGGAAUAAUUAAUUCUUCGAAGUUUUGCUAGCUAGCUAGCAUAACCCUGCACGUAUAUGGGUGGCUGUCAAACUAUUGAUGAAUCGCAAUUUAUUCUCAUUAAUAGUUAGAUAGUUGUUAAAUUAUUGAUGGAUCAAGAUUUGUACUCCUCAAUAGUUGAUUGAUUGUCAAGUUAUUAAUGGGUCGAAAUUUACGCUCAUCAACACUUGACAAUAACGCGACAAUGUUACUGGCAAUUCUCCAACAAAUAACUUACAUUUUAUUCAUUGGUGUCAUUGCUCAUCAUGUGCAUUUUUUGACCUUUACAAAAGAUCCUGUCUCUAGCUAAAUUCCUACGACUCUUACAUCUAUGAAAUAUAUGCUUACAAAGUUUAACAAGUAGUUAAUUAAUAAUAUUUAUCUUUCUUACUUUAAUUGUGGUGAGCAAUAUCUUUAGUAUAAUUACUUUAUAUUUUCUCAUAGGGUGACCCCACACUAAAUUUGCUUAAUUUUAUCUCUUUUACUUUAAAUUGGUGUUGCUUUGGAUGAGUGACACAAGAUGCUAACACAUCCUUUGCAUGAUUGUGACAUGGCAGGUUAUGAUGAAUGCAAUUUCUUCUUCAACGGAUCAUCCUGAAACAGAUAUAUAUAUAUGACUCUAUUAGCUAUUACGAGAUUAAGAAAGAAAAAAUGAUAGGAAGAUCCAAUUUGUUAGACUAUUUUUUGUAGGCGUAUGAUGUGGCCAGUGGCGAAGCCAGGAAUGGAUGGGGGGAGGGGCGAAGUCAGGUAAUGAAAGGGGGACACGCGGUCCCCCCAAUAUAUAUAUAUAUAUAUAUAUAUAUAUAUAUAUUUAUUUAUUUAUAUUUUUUUUCGAAACAUACGAAACGGCGCCGUUUCAAUUAUUAUUUUUAUUUAUUUUUUUUGCCAAGACCAAAACGACGUCGUUUUGGCCUGGAUGAUUUAAAAAAAAACGCAAUAUGCUGUUGCGCGCAACAGAACCCACACAUCACCAGACCACAGGGAGCUCUGAACCCAGUGGCGGAUCCAGGAUUGUAAGAUUGGGUGGUCCAAAUCUAAAGUUCCAAAAAUUAUUAGACGAAAAAUAAUAUUAAAAAAUUAAACAAUAAACAACUGUUAUUCACAAUCUUCUUACAAACAACAUUACAAAUUACAAAGACUAAAUAUGUCCCCAACGAGAUUUCAUACUAAAAAAUGUCAUGAUAGAUUUAUUGUCAACUAGAGCAAAAACAUCCGUAUAUCAUUGAAACCAUCCAAUAUUGAAAUUCAACUAUUUGAUCUGGGUACAUUGGAGAGGAGACUAGUGUUGCGCUGGUGGGGUGGGGUGGGGUGGGGUGAGGUGGGGGUGGGGAUAAGGAAUGGUUCUCUAUUUCAAAUUUGAACUGUUUUGUUUUUGUUUUUUCAAAAAAAAAAAAAAAUUGUGAAAACUAUAUAUUAAAGAAGUGCACCAAACGCACCGUUUUACUAAGGGUGUUUUCAAACCCCCCCGAGCCCUAUGUAAAACAUAGUCUUCUUCUUCCUUCUAAUUUGCAGAACACCAGAACUCUGCAGCCCCACUCCUCUUAUCCUCCACCUUGUGCCCAGACUUGGGUGGUCCUCGACGUCCUUAUAGCAUAUUAUCUGGACUUUCGGGUGGUCCCGGGACCGCCCAGGUCCCUUAAUAGAUCCUCCCCUGAACCAGUGGGUUUUUCGGCGAGGGGAGGGGCGGACCCAGAAAUCCAGUCCUGUUUUCCGGCGAGGGGAGUGGCGGCCGCCACUCCUCGCCCUCACGUGGCUUCGCCACUGGAUGUGGCGGUUGAAGGUUGGACUCAUUUUUUAAAUAAUUUAAAGAAAAAGUCUAACUAUCAAUAGCCACAUCAUGUAAUUAACAAAUGAUAAUUUCAAAUUUUGGUCUCUCUAGCAUCAAAUUCUGUUAACUUAAAAUUUUAUUUAUUUUUCAGCAGAGAUCUACACUACGUAUACAGCACAUUUUAUUUAGGAGGAGUUCCAUAUUUGUGAGUGCAAAUGGAAUUUUGGCUGUAAAGAAGUAGUGGCACGUGAAAGUGAAGUUGUAUUGAUCUUCCUGUCUUCCGGUGUCCAUUUUAUGUACACGGAGUAUACCUAGCAGUUGCAUGUUCCCUUUGAGAUUUCCAGAUUGUCCAAAAACUGCUUACACUAAUAUUUCUUUUAUUUAGCAGGAUUAAAAAGGAGGGUGCUUUUGUUCCACAAAUAAGUAAUAAAUCAUGAUGACGCUGGUCUCAUAUAACAUUCUAGAGUCUCUUAAAGACAAAACAUGAGAAAAUGCGGGCAUAGAAGAUGGAGAAGUGAUGUUGGGAGAGAUGUAGAGAAAAUGUAUAAAGAAAGGUGUAGAAAACUAAAUCUAAAAACUAAAAUUUAAAAUUAUAUAUUUUGAAUUGUUUUCACUUUCGAGAUUUUGUUUUCAUUCAUUCUUCUUUGUUUUGUCCCGUCUCCCCCUCGACCUUUCUUCAUCCCUAAUAUCCUCAAUAUAUUUUGCCCAUAUCUCAAACAAAAUAUAAAAACUAAUAGUUAAAAACCCAAUGAAACUUGUUUCGUAAUCAGCUAGCAUUAUUACUCCUUUUUUCUUUUCCUCUCAAGAGUCGAGAUAGAAUAUCUAGCUAGAUCAAUGUUUUUGUCAACAAAGAUACCUUGCACCAAAAGUAGGCCAGCUGCAAUACAAUUUUUAGACAUACUUCAAAUGGCGUGACCGUGAGGUUGGACUUUCACCAUUAAACGCCAGUACACAGGCUUGUUUGCAAUAGGAAGACGAUGACAAUACAUGCAUGCUCAUUAUUUCCUUCAUAUUUAUUAGAUCUAGCAUUCAUGUUGUUUUCGUGUCAUACCCGAUAGCUUAAUGGGUUGUGUCGUGUAAUACCAGUUAAAGUAAACGGAUAAUAUGACCCGACCUGAAAUCAAUCUGUUAAUAUUAUUAGAUAAUAUGACCCGACCCGUUACCCUUUAAGAAAAAUAUAUUUUAAAUCAAUAAAAAUGAAAAUGAAAAACAUAAUUUGACCCAAAAAAUGUAAAACAUAAUACUAAAUUAAUAUAUAUAUAUAUAUAUAUAUAUAUAUAUAAAAUUUCGGAGUUAACCCCUUCAUGAAAGUUGUAAAACUUUUCAUUAUGAGUGAUUACAUUUUUCACACUUCUACAAUAAUUAUUAUUAAUUUUGCACUUAAAUAAAAAACAUUGUUCAUGAGAUUUGGAGGGUUUUAAAAAUCUAAACGACCAUGUAACCAUCGUCUAAGUGUUGAGGAUGCAAUUAUGAAAGUUUAUUAUGCUUCCACAUCUUUCAGACUUAUACAUUAAUGAGUAUGAAUUUUGUUUAUUUUGAACACCCUUAUAUAAGAGUGUGAAAAUAUUUAGAGAGGAUCCUUGCCCCAAAGAAAAGGGCAAUAGUCUCUCUCUCUCUCUCUCUCACCGUCAAGCAUACAAAUUAACACUUAGGUCUGUCUCACUACCCACAAAGCCUUUAUAAAGCCAUUUGCUUGGUAUUGGGAUUCAAUAUCCAGUUCCAAACUCUCUUGAGAGUUGUGGAGUUGUAGUAUUGACAUGGAGAUCAAUUAUGCUCUGCCUUUGCUCUUAGUCCUCAUUCUCAACUUGGGUAGUUUGCUCACUUCUCUUGCUAACUCCUAUUGUCCACCACCAACAUACCCUCCAGUUCCCCACUUGCCACCCAAACACCAUCCCCACGUAACGCCACCCUCCCACCCUAAACCAUCAAAGAAGCCACCACCGCAUGUCAAACCAGAUCCACAUGUGAAACCACCUCAUGCAAAGCCUCCUCCCCAUGUUCCCAAACCGCCUUCAAAGCCACCUCAUGCAAAGCCUCCUCCUCAUGUACCCACGAAACCACCUCAUGUUAAACCACCUAUUAUAAAGCCACCUCCUUAUCCGAAACCACCUCCCCAUUCCAAACCCCCAGUUGUACUGCCUCCACCAUCUACCCCUAGGCCCCCAACUGUAAAACCACCACCUACACCACCUUUAUUGCCAAGCUCACCACCAACACCAACACCAAUUGUCCCAGUGAAGCCUUCUCCACCCACUGAAACACCAUGCCCUCCAGCUCCACCACCAAAGGUAGUACCAUCCCCACCACCACCACCAUCUCCAACCCCAGUUGUCCCAGUGAAGCCUCCUCCACCCACUGAAACACCAUGCCCUCCAACUCCACCACCAAAGGUAGUACCACCCCCACCACCACCACCAACCCCAGUUGUCCCAGUGAAGCCUCCUCCACCCACUGAAACACCAUGCCCUCCACCACCACCACCAAAGGUAGUACCACCCCCACCACCACCACCACCAUCUCCACCAAAGGACACGUGUCCCAUUGACACCCUAAAAUUGGGAGCUUGUGUAGAUGUGUUGGGCGGUCUUAUCCACAUUGGAAUUGGAAGCAGUGCCAAAGAUGAAUGUUGUCCGGUGCUUCAGGGACUAGUGGACUUAGACGCUGCUAUUUGCCUUUGCACCACCAUCAAGGCUAAGCUUCUCAAUGUUAACCUCAUCAUCCCCAUUGCUCUUCAGGUGCUCAUUGAUUGUGGGAAGACUCCUCUCUCUGGAUUCCAGUGUCCUGCAUAGAUGAUAAUCAUAUCAUAUUCCUAAAUCAUAGUUAAUAGUUGUUAAUCAUGUCAUCAUUUUAAACUCGGGGG